UCAGCCGCCGCGGGAACACCGGCGGCCCGAGUGGUGAUCGUGAUUAUUGGGUCUAAAGGGUCCGUAGCCGGUUUGGUCAGUCCUCCGGGAAAUCUGAUAGCUCAACUAUUAGGCUUUCGGGGGAUACUGCCAGACUUGGAACCGGGAGAGGUAAGAGGUACUACAGGGGUAGGAGUGAAAUCUUGUAAUCCCUGUGGGACCACCUGUGGCGAAGGCGUCUUACCAGAACGGGUUCGACGGUGAGGGACGAAAGCUGGGGGCACGAACCGGAUUAGAUACCCGGGUAGUCCCAGCCGUAAACGGUGCUCGCUAGGUGUCAGGCAUGGCGCGACCGUGUCUGGUGCCGCAGGGAAGCCGUGAAGCGAGCCACCUGGGAAGUACGGCCGCAAGGCUGAAACUUAAAGGAAUUGGCGGGGGAGCACAACAACGGGUGGAGCCCUGCGGUUUAAUUGGACUCAACGCCGGACAACUCACCGGGGGCGACAGCAAUAUGUAGGCCAAGCUGAAGACUUUGCCUGAAUCGCUGAGAGGUGGUGCAUGG
rnacentral:rRNA from 1 species